rnacentral:misc_RNA from 1 species
CGCGCCCUUGCCUUGCUCGUACCUUUUGCACACCACGAACCGCUCGCGAGUGCGGCUGCGAGCUUGUUGCGAGAAAUUGGUUUUCCAAAAUAUGUCCCAAAUCCGUUACCUCGAUUAAAGAUUCUCAGUCCACUCGUUUCCAAAUUCGCUUGUUCUUCGAAGUGAGGGUUCCUUAUCCCGCUACCGAUCAUCCCUGGCUUCGAGAAACUCGAAAUCGUCCUUAAAUGCAACUGUGCAGAAUCUUACCGAAACUGGAAUUGGUUGUUCCGGCGUCUUCAAGCGUUGACGUAUGGUGCUGCUAAAAACACCGCCAGCCUCAAGAGGCAAUAGUCCUUCCAGAAAAGGAUCUAGUCCUCAGGAAGGUCUCGGGGCGAGUCCGGAGGUUCCAAAAGGGAAGCAAAUUCAAAAGCGUGGAAGAGGCAGCCGAGGCAGCAGUCCAGGAGAUCAAAGCACCGGAUCGCGAGGCAGCAGCCCUGGAAAGAGUCCCGUCUUCAAGGGAAAGUCGAAGACCACGCUGCCACGCUCACAAGGAAGCGAAACCGGCAGCAUAGAGAGACUGGAGGCAGGUGACAAGAGGGUGAUUGCUACCCACCAAUUACUCCCCGAAGACAACAUAAACGUGGUGGUCAGGGUCCGACCACUGAGUAACAGGGAGAUUAAAUCUGGCGACGAAUCGGGCGUGCAAUUUCCUGGCAAUGGUCAAAUUCAUUGCGAUGGAAUACCCAACAGCGGUGACAAGAAGCCCAAAUUAUUCUCGUACAACGUCGUGUUCGAACCGGCGGCGUCACAGGAAGACAUUCUCCAGUAUUCCGGCGUUAAAAAACUCAUCGAAAUGGCCGUCGAAGGAUUCAGCUGCACGGCAUUUUGCUACGGGCAAACCGGUAGCGGAAAAACACACACUUUGACCGGGCCUCCGGGUUUGUUCAACGGGAAAAAUCCCUACUCCGAAGGUCACGGAUUGGUCUUUCGCUCGUUCGUCUACCUCUUCAAGAUACUACAAGAAAGACAGGAUUGCAAUUUCGUGCUCCGAGCGUCCUUUCUCGAAAUCUACAACGAAAAGGUUAUCGAUCUCCUGAAUCCUGGAACAAGUAGAAAACCUUUGGCGGUAAGAUGGAGCAAAAAAAUCCGAGGUUUUUUCGUCGAGAAUUUAUUCACCGUCGAGUGCGAAGAGCUUGACGAUUUAUUAGCCGUUUUGGAGGAAGGCAUGCGGAAUCGCUCCGUCGGCUCGCACAACAUGAACGAUCAUUCCAGCCGAAGCCACACCAUACUGACCGUCCACAUCACCUCGGAACAACAAAUGGAAAACGGAGUAUUUAUUUCCAAGCAAGGCAAGAUCAACUUUGUCGAUCUUGCGGGCAGCGAAAUGACGAAGAAAACACAGAGCGAGGGUAAAACUCUCGAGGAAGCUAACAACAUCAAUAAAAGCUUGAUGGUGCUAGGAUACUGCAUCGCUUCGUUAAGUGAUGGGAAAAAGAAAGCUGGACAUAUUCCUUAUCGGGAUAGCAAACUGACGAAACUACUUGCGGACAGUCUCGCCGGAAAUGGAGUUUCUCUUAUGAUCGCAUGCAUUUCUCCGGCGAGAUCUAACGCGAGCGAAACUAUAAAUACACUGCGCUACGCGGCGCGUGCUAAAAAAAUUCGCACCAAGCCGAUUAUCGUUAUGGAUCCCAGGGAGGCUUUGAUACUCAGCCUGAAACGAGAAGUCGGCGCUUUGCAAACAGAGAACGAUCACUUGAGGGUAGCGCUCAACUUAGGCGGGGAAUCCCCGAUCUUUGCGCGGGUCGAAUCCAAGGCUGGGGAAAGAAGACCGCUUCCAACACCGCCUCGAGUUGAUCUUGACAAAUUAGCGGAACUCGAGGGUCCGGAACUCGGCCAACUUGUUCGGGAUUACAUCACCGAGAACGAGGCUCUUCGACGGGAAAAUGCCGAGCUUUACGUCACCAGGGAACAAGUAAUGCGCGACCAGGAACAGGUCUGCAGGGAAAAUGAGAGGCUUUUGAAAAAACUUGAGGAUGUUAAUUCCGUCUGUUGUCGUUCGCCUAUUAUUCCGGCUCGGCCCAAUUACUCGGCGGAGUUGUCGAGUAGCGUUAACGGCGAUUACGUGCCUGGAGCUGCAAACGUCUGGACGAAUCCUAAUUCGGACCCUAAUCAAGCGACGUUUACGACUUCCAAGGACAAUACCGGUGGAGAAGUAACGUCUGGCGGCUCGGUUCGCGGAAUGCCUGAAAAAGUAUUGAAAGAAUUGGACAAGCGACGAAUUGGAGGAAGUUUUAAUAACAUCCUAGAGGCGUACAAGGACAAAAGUCAUCACAGGAGAAACAACUCUUGGGAUAAUGGAAAUGUGGCUAAUAGUCCGGAUCAAACCUCGUCUCCUGUCGACCCUAGCCAGUAAGAACUAAGACGUCUCAUCUAUAAGUAGUAACGCCAGUUUCCAAGUACGCAUAAAUAACAGAAAAGGUGCAGCCCUGCGAAGAACGUCGACAGUGCCGGAAGAAAGGAGCUUAGCGAUGUCAAAUUUCGAUGAUAACCAUCCGCCGUUGAAGAGCCAUUCUUUGAACGACGACACUUCUACUCCAG